UGACCCAUGGUGUAAUGGUAGCACAAGAGAUUUUGGUUCUCUCGGUUUAGGUUCGAGUCCUAGUGGGUCAA
rnacentral:tRNA from 2 species